ACCUACAGCCAGCUACUACUUGCACACAGCAUGUCGGCAGGACAACAGUAAAUGUGUUUUGGCUUUGUUGGAUUUCAUUCUAGCAGCCAGACACAAAGAUGAUGGUGUAGCCUCACCUUGAACACGGCAUGCAGGUUUGGGCACCAAAAUGUGGUCUGUGUGGAGCUGGGAGUUGGACACAGUGAUCCCUGUGGGUCUCCUCCAACUCAGGAUAUUCUGUUAUUCAUGAUUCUAUGACUGUCCGUUCUCAGCUGACCUUGGAAGCCCAGCACGGGAACAUUUCAGAACCUUUUAUACCCUACCUGAAUAGCGAAAGCCGGCACAACAACAUCAAGAUGAAAAUGAACUGUAAUUCAGAAACAACAAGGAGUUCACAAAACCAGUGCUGCUGAGUGACUCCAUUUCACACACCCUGACACACAGCCAUGCCCAAACCAGUGCUGUUCCACAUCGCCUUCUGCUCCACAGGCCACAUCAGGCACAGAAGGAGACUGAAGGCAUAAGAGAGCUCAGUCCCGCCUUUGCACUGGGACCAGACUGCUCCUGCAGCCGUCAAGAGGCAGAAGUAUUAGCCUUUAUGUACCAUCUGAAGCAUUUAUAUCUGCAGAGGUACUCUGGAUAAAUACCUUACUUGUGGGGUGGGGAAGGAAUAGGGAAACAAGAACUUACAUAGAACAGUUCUUCAGAAAAGCUUUGCAUUUAUCAAAAAUAUUCCUUCCCAGCUGGCUUCUAUUUGCAGCAAGAAUGAGAUCCUUUAGACCAUGCAACUUAAUGGUAACAGCCCUACUGUGAAGGACCUGAGUCACUUUCAGCUACAAUGCGAGCUGGGAGGCAAUCAACUCACCCUGCAAAGAGCACACAGUCGCACCACUCAGGAACUUACUUUGUUUCUUCUUACUCUUUUCUUAAAAAGCCUUUUACACGUUACUGGAAUCCUAAUCGUCCUACUGAGAUUUCAUGCUUCUGAUUUCGUAGAGGAGAAAGCUUAGUCACAAAUAAACCUUGCACGGUGGAAAAAUGUCGAGGAAGAAAAUAUCAAGCCAGACAAGUAUGACUGGAAACUCAGAUGUAAAGAAUUCAAAUGUUUCAAAACAUGCCGCGAUAGGUAUAUUCCCACUUCAUUCCAAGCAAAUAAGAUUAGUGUGUAUUACUGAGAAUUUUAUGCCUCAGAAGAAGGCCCUAAUUAUAUUUCACACUGCUCUGAAGACUCCUGUAAUAUACACACGUCUUUAAUGUGGAAUUUUAUACCCUAUUUAUAGCAUAUAGGCUCUUUUUGAUAUUAUUACUUUUCUAUGAAGCUCCUUUGAAGUCAGGUAAUUACCUUAAGCGAAAUAUUUAGCCUGUUGUGAGAAUCGAACUAUGAGAUUUGUGUAGAACAAAUAAGUCAUCAUGUAGCACAGCAUAAAGGUUUCAGAGCCACAAGUAGGGAUGGAAACAUUAAUUAUGAAGACAAAGCCAAGAAUGCAUUUUAAAAGUCAUUUAAAGUGAGAGCUGGUAUAUCUGUACAAUACCAUGUCACACUUCAUGCAUACCAGUAAGAACUAUGUGAGCUAUAUGCUAAAAAGCAUAAAACCAUUUCAUUACUAAUUACUCUCUUUAGUAAAGCCACGGCUGUAGGUUACCGCAGGCCUGGCCAGAGUCAGGGUGUAACUGUGAAGAGGUCAGAGGGAGCCACUAAAAUAGCUAAUGAUGAUCUGCAGUACCUUCUCCCUAACCAGAAAUGUCAAAUUAUUAAAGACUUGUAAAUCUGGAUUCUUCUCAUCUUUCUCUGCAGUUUUGAAUCUCCUUAGUGGGAUAUAUGACCUGUGGCUACCUUAUAUCGAGACACACAGUUAUAUCAUUUCUACAUUGCUUUCUGAUCUAAGAUUAUCCAUGACCGUUUUGUGUUUGACUCAAAGCAUUUGCAAGAAAAGUCACCUGCAGUGAGAAGUCACUGGCAGGUCCCCACCUUACCUCCUCACGCACAGUUCCUUAAAGCCACCUGAAAUUAAAGAAUACUAAAACACCAUGCCACAUGGAUCACAAUUUGUCAUGCAAAUAUUAUCCCUUAUACGUAAUAUAUAAUAUAAUAGGUGAAACCAAAACUUCAAGAUGUGACUGAGACAGAAAGAUGCACACAAACAUACAAAUGCGUGGGUCUCUCCCAAGGGAUGGGAACCUCUUGGCAUGAAGCUGAGUGAUUGUCCCCGGAGGCGUUCAAGAAAUGUGCAGAUGUUGUACUAAGGGAUAUGGUUUAGUGGGGAAAUAUUGAUGGUGGUGGACGGUUGCACUGGAUGAUUUUGGAGGUUUUUUCCAACCUUGGUGAUCCUAUGAUUCUAAAUGGUGAGCCCACCAGUACAGGACAGUAUUAAUCCAUUACCAUUUUCCAGAGGUGGAAGAAAUUCACCUGGCUUACUGCAUUCAGGCAGGUUUUCCCAACUGCAUGCCCUUCAAUAAUCUGAUACAUUGAACUUCUUUUAUAUAUAUAUAUAUAUAUUUAGUUGUUGUUGUUUAA